AAUAGCACCUUCGCUUUUCUCUCUCUAUAACUCAUCAUCAUCUCAAUCGGAUCUUCCUUAGCCCCGAAUAAUUUUCCGACAAAACCUAACCCUAACUUUUCCAAUGGCCAGCGAUUCCAAUGAACCUUCCCGUCGCAAACACCAUCGAUCUUCUCCUUCCGAUGAGGAUACCGGAGAACCAUUGAAACGCCGUAAGCACCGCCACCAUCAUCGCCACCAUCGCCACCAUCGCCAUCAUAGCAAGAAGCAUCUUGAGAAAUCCGAUUCGAAAUCCGAGAAGGAAAUGGUUAAAUCAAAAAGUGAGAUUGAGAAUGGUGGUAAACCUGGAGAAGAGAUGAAGAUUGGUACUGUUGUUGGUGUUUCUACUUUAGGGAUUGAUUAUGAUAUGGAGGAAGGAGAAAUCAUUGAGGAUGAUGUUGUGGAUACUGCUGCUGUUGGUGAUGCUGAUGAGACUACCGUGACAGAAAAAUUGGGGAAUGAAGAUGAUUUGAACAUGGAAUUGCAUGAAGCUCAAGAACAAGGGCCUGCAGACAAUGUGGAAAAAGUUGACAGAGAUUACACUGUUUCUGGACGGCAUGAUGAGCAAAGCAAAAGUAGAAAGGCUGAUAGGUCUAGAGAAAGGAAGUCUAGUGACAAGCAUUGUGCCAAUGGUAGUUACAUAGAUAAGUUUCAUAAAUUGGACUCUGAACCACAGAAAGAAGAUAGUAUCACUGCUGAAGAAAUUACAAAACAAAAGAGCUAUGACGAGGAUGAGAAUGAGGUACAGGAUCGAAUAAUAAGAUCCUCGACUCCUGAAAAUGUUGGAAAGAGGCAUAGAUCUGUUAGGGUAUCAUCUUCACAUUAUGAGCACCCUGAAGAGAGACAUGUUACAAAGUCAUCCAAGUCACCAGAUCGCUCCAGAGGAAGAUCACGAUCAAAAAGUGUUCUGGAGGAGUCUUUCCUUGUACCUAAGUCUCGUGAGAUAGAUGACACAUAUGAAAAGGAAAGCAGAUAUAAAGGUAACUUUGAUGAUGAAAAAAUUGUAUACAACCGGGACUAUCGACAUGGAAGCCGAGAUUCUUCAAGGGACAGGGAAAAGGAGCAUAAUUCUGGUAACAGCAGAUCCUCUAGAGACAGGUAUUAUAACAGGGAGAGUGUUGAUAGAUUUCGGGAGAGUAGUCUGGAGAAUGACAGGGAUAGAGUAAGAGAUAAAGACAGGGAGCGUGAGUUGGCUAGAGAAAAGCGAAGGGAGAGCGAUAAGGAGAGGCGAAGGGAGAGCGAUAAGGAGAGGGAAAGAGUAAGGGAGAGGGACAGAGAGAGGGAAAGAGAGAAAGCUCGAGAUAGGGAAAGGGAUAGAGAAAGAGAACAUGAGAGGGGGAGAGGGAGAGAGAGGGAGAGGGAGAGGGAAGAGAGAGAAAGGAGGAAUAGGGAUAGGGAAAGCAGUGGACGUAGUAGGGAGGCAGAUAGGGAUAGAAAUAGUGAUAGGUACAGCAGGCAUCAGGAUGACAGUGUUGCUUAUAAUAGACGUAAUAGACAUUACGAGACUGACAUUGAGAGAGGAAGGACAAGUAAUCACUUAAAAACUGAGACCACAAAGCAACAUGCUGUAGAGACAGAGAGUGAGAGAUCGAGAAGAGAUGAAGUUGAACAGGAGGAUUAUCAGGAAAAAGUUGUUUUCCAGCUUGCUGAACAAGAUGAAGAAGAUGAACUUGAUAGAAUUAAGGAGGAGAGCAGAAGGCGAAGGCAAGCUAUUCUUGAAAAAUAUAAGAUUAAGAACUCACCGAAGGAACAAGUUACUCAAUCUGGGGACGUUGUUGAGAUUCACAUGGAUCAGUCUUCAAAAAAACCGGCAAUCAGACAGAAUGUUGUGCAAGAGUCUAUUGAUGCUAAGAGCAAUGGUGCAGAUGUCGAGCCAACAUUUUCUGUUGGGAAAUCACCUCUGCAGGGUGGUCAGAUUGGUGAUGUGCUGGCUUCUGGAGCUGGUGGACUGGGACAGGGUACUCCAAAGAGUGAGAGGUCGGCUGACAUGUUUUGUGACGAUAUAUUUGGAGAAUCGCCUGCUGGCAUCAGGAAGAUGGGCAAAGGAGAUGGUGUGGCAGUUGAGCGCAGUGGCCUUCAUGAUAACUGGGAUGAUCCCGAAGGGUAUUAUAGUUAUCGGUUCGGAGAAAUUCUUGAUGGCCGUUACGAGAUCGUUGCUGCUCAUGGUAAAGGAGUCUUUUCUACUGUUGUCCGCGCUAAAGAUCUCAAGGCUAGACCUGGUGACCCUGAGGAAGUAGCAAUUAAAAUGAUACGCAAUAAUGAAACAAUGUAUAAAGCUGGUAUGGAAGAGUUGGUCAUACUGAAAAAACUAGUUGGUGCAGAUCCUGAAGACAAGCGCCACUGUGUUCGUUUUAUUUCUAGCUUCAAGUACCGGAAUCAUCUCUGUUUGGUUUUUGAGUCUCUUCAUAUGAAUCUCCGGGAGGUUUUGAAGAAGUUUGGACGUAACAUUGGACUCAAACUCACUGCUGUGAGGACGUACGCAAAGCAACUUUUCAUUGCUUUGAAGCAUUUAAAAAAUUGUGGUGUGCUUCAUUGUGAUAUUAAACCCGACAACAUGUUGGUAAAUGAAGCAAAAAAUGUGCUGAAGCUUUGUGACUUUGGUAAUGCUAUGUUUGCUGGAAAAAAUGAAAUUACUCCAUACCUCGUGAGCCGUUUUUACCGUGCCCCAGAGAUCAUUCUUGGAUUGUCGUAUGAUCACCCGAUGGAUAUAUGGUCAGUGGGUUGCUGUUUGUUUGAGCUCUAUGCUGGGAAAGUAUUAUUUCCAGGUCCAACUAAUAAUGACAUGCUUCGUCUUCAUAUGGAAUUGAAAGGUCCAUUUCCAAAAAAGAUGCUUAGAAAGGGUGCAUUUACAGAACAACAUUUUGACCAAGAUCUCAAUUUUCUUGCCAUCGAAGAGGAUCCUGUUACAAAGAAGGCUAUAAGGAAGCUGAUUGUUAAUAUUAAGCCAAAAGAUAUCAGUUCAAUAAUUUCUGGCUCUCCAGGUGAAGACCCAAAGAUGUUGGCUCACUUCAAAGAUCUUAUGGAGAGAAUUUUUGUGUUAGAUCCAGAAAAGAGAAUGACUGUUUCCCAGGCAUUGAGCCACCCAUUCAUCACGGGCAAGUGAAUGACAACAAUGAUUUUAUGACUAGGGACAUGUUGCACUAGAUACUAGUGUAUUAUGAUCAUAUGAUCUUAGUUUAUUUUCAGUUCUCUAAUCAUUGGGCUUUAUAUGUCUUUAUCUACUAUCAUGGGUUAAGUGCUUCGGAGAUUGGCAUGGUUGAAGUUGCAGAGAAGAUUGCUGAUUUUGGGAGAUCUAUAUCUUGGCAAUUCUUUCAGUGCAAUGUUUUCUGUUCUAUCGAUAUCUACCAGGGCUUUGAUGCAAGAUUCAGUGAUUUAGAUGCUUAAAAGGCACCCUGGAGAAGGUACCUUGGUUUGUUUGUUAGGAAUUACUGUGACUCCCUUUAAAUGUUGUGAAUCUACUUGAUUCCUCAGACAUCAGUGAUAAUUUGUGCUUUCUUGUUCGUGCCAAUUUUUAAUUUUUGUUGACUAGUUAUGAUUUCUGAACUUUAAUUUGGUCUUGCCUGAAAAAUUGCAGACCUGAGGGUGGCUUGUCAAUGAGCCUCCUUAGGUUAGAAUAGUAAAACUAUCAAGAGCUAAAGGUUCUAUAUUAUUUGGAAAUAAUUUGGAGUCUGUGUUAUUUCUUCUAUUUCUUAAAUUUUUUUCCGAGGAACACUUUCUAAUAAGUUGCAUUGCAUCUGAUCCAUGGUAUGGUCAUCCUGGAGCAAUGUAUGACUGGAGAAUGAUCAGAUGCAGCCUUGAAGUGAGAAUUGUUUCAGGUGUGGUUCCAUGCAUCUGCAGUUCUAGUAAGUAUCCUUGAAUUUCAUUACGUCUCUGGUGUAAAAGGUGGGUUAUCUUUUGAAAACCUGAUAUUCUUCUAUCAAUGUAUUACGUUCAAAGUUUGCUUGUCUUCCAUGAAAUUGACCUACAUGGAAUAUAAUUCAAGUUCUUAACUGGAUUUGCUGAUAAACUUGGCCAUUGUGGAUCAAAUCUAUCUCAAAUUUCAAUUGUCCCUUUUCCUGAACACUAAUGAAAAAAAAAUCUGUUUAGCUUGCAUUGGAAUUUGACUUUCUAGAUCCCUCCUCCAAGAUGCAUUGAAUUUUUCUCCAACUGCAUGUUCAAGGAACAUUUGACAAGCCUCUCAUAUUUUUCUUCCUCCACCUUCUUAAGCACCAACUUAUUGCUCCUCUGCCAAGCCUCUCUGACUCUGUCUAUCCAUCUUUUGGCCAUUAAACUUUGUUAGUUAUGACAAGCUCAACUCGUGACUCUACGUUUUUUAAACAUAAGGUUUGUCCUUCUCGAAGGAUUUGAGGUGUGAUGUAUAGGCACGAGUCUUUAAACCCCUCAAAGCCUGACUACCAUUUGACUAGUAAUCUUUCUUUCUCCUGUUAACUGAUUUUGCACUCGAGUUUGUUGUUUUAGGAUUAUGGUACUUCUCAGGAAAUUCAGACUUCAGAUAAUGUUUAGAGAGGACAGGUGCAUGGCUAUUAUGGAUACUUAACUGAAUAAUCAUUUCCUCAUAAAAAUUCUUCUCAAGUAAGAAUGUAGAAAUGGGGAAUUUCUUUUUGAUGAAGGUAGGAAUAUGGAAUUUCUUAAUUUAGAUGAGCACUGUGAAGGAACACUAUUUUCGAAUGUAAAACAAAAACCAUAUUUUUAAUGAGGUAGUGUUGCAAAUUAAAGCAUCACUAAAAACAUAUGAAAGCUCGUAAGGUGUCUAAUAGAAGCAUGUAAUUAAACUACAGCCAAUCUUGCUGCAUUUUGCAAAAGUAAAGUGAGAAAUAGCAUAUACAUGUAUAAGAUUGUUUAUUUGGUUUAAUAGACUUAUUUUUCAAAAAAUUGAGUACUCAACUGUAAACGAACCUUGAAACUUUUAAGACCGAAACCGACUGAAGAACUGUGAACCAAAAAAAUUUGGUUCGGACAGUUUUUUCGGUUUUAACUAAAGGAGUGGGCAUUAAAUCAAGAAAAUUAUCUGAAACGAAAAUUUUGAUUUUGUGGUUUUUGGUCGGUUCAUGGUUAAUGUUUCUAACAUUAUCAGUUUAUAAAUAUGGUUCUUCAGUUAACUGGAAAAUCUAAGUGUAAGAGGUUUUGGGGUUCUCUAUACAUUAGUCUUUAGUUAAAAAAGUUCUCCAACCCAAUUACCCUCCCAAGGCUGAUGCCAAGCCUAGGCUCCUAGCUUAGUUUAUGCUAGGGUUCCGAGUCUCUUUUGCUGACGCAUUGUCGUCUCACACACUUACCAUUUCGCGAGUCUUUAAAUCCCUCAAUGCCUGUCUACCAUUUGACUAGUUAUCUUUCUUUCUCACCCUAUUGAAUUCUGCACUCAAGUUUGAUGUAAUUGUUUUAGGAUUAUGGUACUUUCCAGGAAAUUCAGAUUUCGAAUAAUAUUUAGAGGGGAUAGGUGCUUGACUUUUAUGAGAUGCUUUACUGAAUAGUAAUUUCCUUAAAAUUUUCUCAAGUAGAAUGUAGUAAUAGGGAAUUUCUUUUUUUGAUGAAGGUAGAAAUAUGGAAUAUCUAAAUUCAGACUAGCACCUAAAGGAGCUAUUUUCCUUUGUAAAACAAAAAUCAUAUUUUUAAUGAGGUAGAGUUGCAAAUUAAAGCAUCACUAAAAACAUAUGAAAGCUCAUAAGAAGUCAAGUAGUUAGGCAUGUAAAUUGCAAUUGAACUACUGCCAAUCUUGCUGCAUUUUGCAAAAGUAAUGUGACAUCCAAGAUGAGAGGCAAAACAAGUGAGAAAUAGCAUAUGCAUGUAUAAGUUAUUUAGUUUAAUCGGCUUACUUUUCAAGAACUCAACCGUAACAAACCUUGAAAGUUUUAGACCUAAACGGACUGAAAAACUAUGAAACAAAAAAAAUUAGUUCUGUUAGUUUUUUCGGUUUUAACCAAAGGGGUGGGCAUUAAAUCAAGAAAAUUAACUGAAAUGAAAAUAUUGAUUUUUCUGUUUUUGGUUGGUUCACGGUUUAUGUUUUUUGAUAGUAUCAGCUUCUCACUAAGGUUCUUCAGUUUCUCAAAAAAAAAAAGGUUCUUCAGUUAACUGGAAGAUCAAAGUGAAAGAGGUUUUGGGGUUCUCUAUACAGUACUCCUCAGUUUAAAAAGUUUUCUAGCCCAAUCAACCCUCCCAAGGCUGAAGCCCAGAGCUCUGAUGCCAAGCUUAGGCUCAGCUUAGUUUAUGCUAGGGCUCCAAGUCUCUUUUACUGAUGCACUGUCGCCUCACUCUUACCGUCUCACGUUUGUCCUGCAUUUGUGCUGUACUGGCCUGCUUCGACUCCCUUCUCUUUCUCGAGAAGUCAUACGUAGAUUUUAGUGAAUUGACUUGCUAAAGUUGAAGUGCAUCUUUACUCUUGUUUCUGUACUUGUGAAUGUAAGAUAUGUUUACCCAUAGUCCAUUCCUGUUUCUUUAACUCACUUCACCACCGCCUAUGUUUGAGUUAACUCACCCCAUUGUUUGUUGUUUGGUUCUCUUGUUAUUUAUCUUUGGUGAAGCACUCACAUACUUCUAUCUGACUUAGUUCUCUAUUUCUGAUGUCUUAGAGUGUUUAGCAUUCCGUCUAUGGGUUCUCAAUCUCUGUGUGUGUACCUUUUACAUUUUAUUAUGUCUUUAGUUAGAAUAGCAGCUGUCAUUUGAGUUGUUUGUUUUUGGUUGAAUUCUUUUUGUCAUUCUAAUUAGCUAUUAUAAAUUUAAAAAUAUUCAGAAUACAUUGAAUCCUGCAUAUGUUGAUUCGGUUUGACAUUACAAAUCACUUCUUAGUGUAUAACAAGUGACAUUACCCAUCACUAGUCUGGAUAAGUAAGAAGUGUAAAGAGCUCAAUUUUCCCUUGAACUAUGUGAAAGGUUUAACUUUGCCCUCUGUUAAAAGUUUGGGGUCAUCUAUAUCCUCGACAGUCGCCAUUUAGUUUUUGCUCGAAAUUUUGAACUUCUAACCAUAAGGGCAGAUCUCAAUCUUUUUCUCUAUUAUAUGAGUUGGACUCUAAUUAUCCGGAGUAGCAGAAAAACAUGCCAUGUUGCUAUGCUGUCAAAAAAAUGCAGCACCAAAUUUGCUUUACACACCAUCACUUGUGUAUUGUGAAGUAAAUUUAUGAAAAUGUAUGUUCGAAUAGAAGCUUUUUCUGCCAUUGCAGAUUGUCUGUUAGGUUUUUCUCUAAUCACUUAUGCCUUCAAAUAUUCUCAGCUGCAUUUACUGCACCAACCUGUGUUUAUAUUUGAGGUUAUAGCUUGAAUGUUAGGGAUGAGUGUUGUUUUGGAGCUCGACAUUGUCAGAGAUUGUUAAAUGAUCAUAUCAUGCCUUGAUUCCUUUCGUAACUGUGGUUUCUAUUUAGAUUGUAGUAAUCGAUAUAUUGCUUCAUGAUUUAGCUUGUUGCGACUUCUUUUGGAGUUUGGGAAUGUUAUCACUAUGUAUGUAUGUAAUGGUUAGUUAAACCAGUGCUCCUAUUACGUGCUGCACUAAUGCUGAAGAAUUUCCCGCCUUCACCUGGAUGUUCUGCUUAUCCCUUUUGAUAUUUUAGUGCAUCACAGUUGCCAGAUUUUGUAACCUGGAUAGUGUGAUUCUCAGGUAAGAAAGCCUACUAACAUCUUCAGAAUCGCGACUUAUGUCUGCUUUGAUUCUUCUUCAUCCUAACGAUGUGUGUGGUUCAGCUCGAAAGAUUUAUGUUUGGGCAGAGCGGUUGUUAAUGUUUCACACUUAUUCUAUGAAAUAAAUUUACGUUUUCUCUUA